rnacentral:rRNA from 1 species
UAUCUCUGUAGAGUCUGCAUAUCAAUAAGCGGAGGAAAAGAAACUAACAAGGAUUCCCUUAGUAACGGCGAGUGAAGCGGGAAGAGCUCAAAUUUGAAAUCUUCAAGGUUCUACCUUGACGAAUUGUAGUUUAUAGAAGUGUUUUCUGUUAGUAGAGUGGCAAAAGUUCUUUGGAAUAGGACAUCAUAGAGGGUGAGAAUCCCGUAUUUGGUCAUUCUUUCUAGCUUUGUGAUACACUUUCAACGAGUCGGAUUGUUUGGGAAUGCAGUCCAAAAUGGGUGGUAAAUUUCAUCUAAAGCUAAAUAUUGGCGAGAGACCGAUAGCGAACAAGUACCGUGAGGGAAAGAUGAAAAGAACUUUGAAAAGAGAGUUAAACAGUACGUGAAAUUGUCAAAAGGGAAGCGUUUGACACCAGUGUUGUUUUUCCGAAAAUCAAUUACGAAUGUUUUAGUUUUUGAGAAGUUAUGACUUCAUCGGCUUGCUCCUUUCUUUAUGAAACUUUCUUAAUGCACUUUUCGGUUAACAAGUCAACAUCAAUUUCUUUUGUUGUAAAAGGGUAUUCGAGGAAGGUGGCUUUCUUUUCGGAGAAAGUGUUUAUAGCCUUGUGCCUCUGCAAUCGGAGAGAUUGAGGUCUGCAGCGUAGAUCCUUCGGGGUUAGAUACAUUUGUGCUAAGUUAUAGCUUUUCAUAGACAACUUGUUGACUAUGUUUAGUCUUGUAGCUUACUCGCUUAUGCUAUUUUACCUACGCUUAGGAUGUUGACGCAUGAGAUAUACGC